AACGCUGGCGGCGCGUCUUAAGCAUGCAAGUCGGGCGGCAAGGGGAGCUUGCUCCCCUCAGAGCGGCGGACUGGUGAGUAACGCGUGGGUAACCUACCCCCCGGUAGGGAAUAGCCGCUAGAAAUAGCGGGUAAUACCGGAUACGGUUGUUCUACGAUGGUAGGACAAAGAAAGGAGCUACGGCUCCGCCGAGGGAUGGGCUCGCGUCCGAUUAGGUAGUUGGUAAGGUAAAGGCUUACCAAGCCGAUGAUAGGUAGCCGGCCUGAGAGGGUGGACGGCCACAUUGGGACUGAGAUACGGCCCAAACUCCUACGGGAGGCAGCAGCUAAGAAUAUUCCGCAAUGGACGGAAGUCUGACGGAGCGACGCCGCGUGGACGAAGAAUGCCGAAAGGUUGUAAAGUUCUUUUCCAGUCGAGGAAUAAAGAGGGGAGGGAAUGCCCCUGAGAUGACGGUAGACUGGGAAUAAGCCCCGGCUAAUUACGUGCCAGCAGCCGCGGUAACACGUAAGGGGCGAGCGUUGUUCGGAAUUAUUGGGCGUAAAGGGCGCGUAGGCGGCGAGGAAAGUUUGGUGUGAAAUGCGGGGGCUUAACCUCCGCACCGCGCCGGAAACUGCCUUGCUCGAGUCUGUGAGGUGAAGUUGGAAUUCCUAGUGUAGGGGUGAAAUCUGUAGAUAUUAGGAAGAACACCAGUGGCGAAAGCGGACUUCAAGCGCAAGACUGACGCUGAGGCGCGAAAGCGCGGGAGCAAACAGGAUUAGAUACCCUGGUAGUCCGCGCUAUAAACGAUGCGCACUAGGUGUCGGACCGAGCGGUUCGGCGCCGAAGUAAACACGAUAAGUGCGCCGCCUGGGGAGUAUGCCCGCAAGGGUGAAACUCAAAGGAAUUGACGGGGGCCCGCACAAGCGGUGGAGCAUGUGGUUUAAUUCGAUGAUACGCGAGGAACCUUACCUGGGUUUGAUAUGAAGGCGAGGGGCGUAGAGAUACGCCCGCCCGGCAACGGGCGCCUUCACGGGUGCUGCAUGGCUGUCGUCAGCUCGUGCCGUGAGGUGUUGGGUUAAGUCCCGCAACGAGCGCAACCCCUACCGCCAGUUACCAGCAAGUAACGUUGGGUACUCUGGCGGAACUGCCGGCGACAAGCCGGAGGAAGGCGGGGAUGACGUCAAGUCAUCAUGGCCCUUAUGUCCAGGGCUACACACGUGCUACAAUGGGCGGCACAACGCGAGGCAAAGACGCGAGUCAAAGCAAAACGCUGAAAACCGCCCGUAGUUCGGAUUGAAGUCUGAAACCCGACUUCAUGAAGUUGGAAUCGCUAGUAAUCGCGCAUCAGCACGGCGCGGUGAAUACGUUCCCGGGCCUUGUACACACCGCCCGUCACACCAUCCGAGUGCGGAGGUACCCGAAGCCGGUAGUCUAACCGUAAGGAAGACGCCGUCGAAGGUACGUUUGGUGA
rnacentral:rRNA from 1 species